rnacentral:rRNA from 1 species
UACAUGCAAGUCGAACGAGAAAGUUCCUUCGGGAGCGAGUAAAGUGGCGGACGGGUGAGUAACGCGUAGGAAUCUACCUUUCAGUGGGGGAUAGCUCGGGGAAACUCGAAUUAAUACCGCAUACACCCUUCGGGGGAAAGGGGGCCUCUCCUUGGAAGCUCUCGCUGUUAGAUGAGCCUGCGUGAGAUUAGCUUGUUGGUAAGGUAAUGGCUUACCAAGGCUACGAUCUCUAGCUGGUCUGAGAGGACGAUCAGCCACACUGGGACUGAGACACGGCCCAGACUCCUACGGGAGGCAGCAGUAGGGAAUAUUGGACAAUGGGGGCAACCCUGAUCCAGGCAUGCCGCGUGUGUGAAGAAGGCCUUAGGGUUGUAAAGCACUUUAAGUGAGGAAGAAAAGAUUUAAAUUAAUACUUUAAGUCCCUGACAUUACUCACAGAAUAAGGACCGGCUAACUCCGUGCCAGCAGCCGCGGUAAUACGGAGGGUCCAAGCGUUAAUCGGAAUUACUGGGCGUAAAGCGCGCGUAGAUGGUUUAUUCAGUUGGGUGUGAAAUCCCUGGGCUCAACCUAGGAACUGCAUUCAAAACUUAUAAACUAGAGUACGAAAGAGGAGAGUAGAAUUCAUGGUGUAGCGGUGAAAUGCGUAGAGAUCAUGAGGAAUACCAGUGGCGAAGGCGACUCUCUGGUUCGAGACUGACAUUGAGGUGCGAAAGCGUGGGUAGCAAACAGGAUUAGAUACCCUGGUAGUCCACGCCGUAAACGAUGAGAACUAGCCGUUGGAUCUUUAGAUUCAGUGGCGCAGCUAACGCAUUAAGUUCUCCGCC